CAAGUACUCCCUCCGUCCGGAAUUACUUGUCAUCAAAAUGGAUGUGUCUAGAACUAAAAUACAUCUAGAUACAUCCGUUUCAAUGACAAGUAUUUUCGGACGGAGGGAGUACAAG
rnacentral:pre_miRNA from 1 species